CCCUUAGAUGUUCUGGGCCGCACGCGCGCUACACUGAUGCAUUCAACGAGUUUUUCCUGGUCCGAGAGGAAUGGGUAACCUUUUGAAAGUGCAUCGUGCUAGGGAUAGACUAUUGCAAUUAUUGGUCUUCAACGAGGAAUUCCUAGUAGACGUAGUUCAUCAGACUGCAUCGAUUACGUCCCUGCCCUUUGUACACACCGCCCGUCGCUCCUACCGAUUGAAUGAUCCGAUGAAUAUCAUGGAUUGAGGAUGCAAGUAGGUUAGCCUAUCUUCAUCUUCGAGAAGUGAAGUAAAUCUUAUCAUUUAGAGGAAGGAGAAGUCGUAACA
rnacentral:rRNA from 1 species